UGGGUGUGCUCAGAGCAGCCUGCGGUGAGUCCCCUCUCAGGCUGUUUAUACCACACCCCAGAGAAUCCAAAUGCCGCUGCAUUCAGGAAGCAUCAAAGUUGGUGGCUUUCCUGUCCUAGCUGACGGCAUACAUAC